rnacentral:rRNA from 1 species
UACGUAGGGGGCAAGCGGUUGUCCGGAUUUAUUGGGCGUAAAGAGCGUGUAGGCGGCCUUACAGGUCAGCUGUGAAAACUCGAGGCUCAACCUCGAGACGUCGGUUGAAACCGUAAGGCUAGAGUCCGGAAGAGGAGAGUGGAAUUCCGGUGUGAGCGGUGAAAUGCGCAGAUAUCGGGAAGAACACCCGUGGCGAAGGCGGCUCUCUGGGGAGCGGUACUGGACGCUGAGACGCGAAAGCGUGGGGAGCGAACAGGA